rnacentral:lncRNA from 1 species
GUAUUCUUACUUUUCAGAAUAUUCUUAUGAAACAUUGCUACUUCCACUAACACUGCUCUUUUACCUUUGCUUUUUAGGUGAAGAAGAGUCUGUGACUGGGAAUAAUGCAAAAUAAUUUUACUUUUGAGAGACUCUAAACUCUUCAAACCAUUGUUAUAACAGAUGAUGCUUGGCAUUGCCAAUCAUUCUAUCUUCCUUUUACUUGUUUUCAUGCACAAGUAUUCAGAAGUCCAGUCAAUGCAGAAUGGAGACCAAUAUCUGAGAUGCAGUCCUUGUUUGGAGAGUGAACCUGGGCAUUUCCUGAGGCUCCACGCUGCGAG